rnacentral:rRNA from 1 species
GACGAACCGUGCGAACGUUGUUCGGAAUCACUGGGCUUAAAGGGCGUGUAGGCGGACCGGCGAGUCAGGGGUGAAAGCCCGCGGCCCAACCGCGGAAGUGCCCCUGAUACCGCCGGCCUUGAGGGGGAUAGGGGCGUGCGGAACUUCGGGUGGAGCGGUGAAAUGCGUAGAUAUCCGAAGGAACACCGGUGGCGAAGGCGGCACGCUGGGUCCCUACUGACGCUGAGGCGCGAAAGCCAGGGGAGCGAACGGG